rnacentral:rRNA from 1 species
AUGGGCGGCGGCCGGUUCAGUCUUCGUGUUUACUGGGGCUUCAGAUUUUCAUUAUCCGGUUCCACGGCAGUGAUCGAGCGUGAUGGCGGUCAAGCGGUCCACCCUUUUGUUGAUAUUUCGAUGGGCAACUCUUCAAAAAGAAAAAAUGGUUGGUGGGUUGGCAUGGUUGUCGCUCAGUUCCAUCGUCCCAUUGACCGGGACUUCACCUUGCGAUCCUCCGGUUCCAUGGUAGUGAUCAAGCGGUUCAACCUUUUAUUGGUCUUCACGUCAGCCCCUUUUCACAUAAAAAUGGUUCGCAGGGUGGUGAGACGUCGGUCCUUCGCAAAUUCUAUUCCAGUUCCAAGUAUAAUUUUGACGGUUCCGCGGAGGUGGGAUGUCGCCCUUCGCAAAUUGCAUUCCAGUUCCAAGUAUAAUUUUGCCGGUUCCGAGGAGGUGGGGCGUUGUCCCUUCGCAAAUUCUAUUCCAGUUCCAAGUAUAGUUUUGACGGUUCCACGGAGGUGGGACGUUGUCCCUUCGCAAAUUCUAUUCCAGUUCCAAGUUCCAUCUGGCUGGUCAUAUGGGUCUUGUCCUCGUCACUCCCCUGUCGCAAACAACUGGACCACUGAUACUGCCCCGCACAGCUGCAGCCUUUGUCAGGCAAACCGACCACAGAAACUCCCCAAAACCCUCCUUAUUUUCUCUCUCACACACACUCAGCACGAAUCACGGGGAGUAUUGUUGACACAAUUUUACCGAGAUUCCCUACCAGAACAACACCAGCUCACAGCCUCACCGUGCAGGGCGCCUGCAGCCCCUGUCUUCGUUGUCGUCGUCUCCUCAGUCGAGGCAUGGGGCUCACCACAGUCUUUGUUGCUCGCAGAAGAGGAUAGGGGCCCGAGUCAUUUUCCUCAUCGUCAGGUGGCCUCACCAGAUCUGGAGGUAGAGAGCAGCCGGUGCUCCAAAUCGAUGGCGCUGGUGCGACUCAUUGUCUGGGCCCUAGCUCCGGAGGAGUUGGUUCAUCACCUAGUGGAUAGAAUGGAAGAACACCCCAAGGAUUGGCUCUUCGCUAUGAGUGAUGCUCUGAGCAGAGAUAUGUUUGCGCAUAUGAUCGUCAUCAUGUGGGCAAUUUGGCGGGCUCGUGAGCCUCGAAAGACCGUCGUGAAAGCCACGAGGCCAACCCAGUGGCAGGCCCCGGCCACGGGAUGUGUGAAAAUAAAUGUAGAUGCGGCGGCUCCCAGGCAUGCAAGAUUUGGGGCCGUGGGGGCAAUCUGUAGAAGCCCGGAUGGUGUGUUCUUGGGAACGUCAGCUUUGAUUCUGAGGCACAUCGGAGACCCGGAGACGCUAGAAGCCAUGGCGAUCAGGGAAGGGCUUGCACUUGCGGAGGACCUGCACCAAAUGACAUUCUAA